UUCCCUAUACAUGAUAUAUGAAGAUUAAGAAAAAAAAAUUUGGUCUGGAAAAUGUAGAUUCGAAAAUAAAUAAAUAUAGACAUUCUUUUAUUGUAGCCUUUCAAGACAAUCUUUGAAAUGCUGCUGCUGCGGCAAAAAAAACGACAACAAAAAAAACAUAUUUGUUUUGUUUCUGCACUAAAAAUAUAAAACAGAACAAAAACUCUAUUGUAAUCUAUUCUAACUCUACAGGGUAUGGCCCCGUCAAUAUUUCCUGGACAUGUAUCAAGUCUAUUCCUGGCACCGGUCAUUUAUCACAGUCGCCAGGAGUUGAGGUGAACUGCGCGGAGGCUCCUGCGUCCAUUUAGCCUCAACGCACGAGCAUCCUCUGUUCACUGAAGGAGCUUCGUUUCUUAUGAACAAACAUGAACCAGUAUCUGUUCGUCCUUCUUUCUUUCGUGCAUGUAUUGGCGGAUCCGGAUUUUGCCAAACUCGAUGGCGCCCCGCCUUCUAAAAUAGCUGUUGUUGGAGCUGGAAUCGGGGGAACCGCUACAGCCCACUUCCUUAGGCAACAUUUCGGACCGGAAGUGAAAAUUGACAUAUUUGAGAAAGGGUCAGUCGGGGGUCGUCUGGCUACUGUCACUGUGAACCACCAAGACUACGAGUCCGGUGGAUCCAUCAUUCAUUCCCUCAACCUGCACAUGCAAGACUUUGUGCAGCAACUGGGGCUGAAGUACAGAAAGAGCGUGGCUGGGAAAACGGCUGUCUUCAAUGGAGAGGAGUUUAUUUUGGAGGAGACGGACUGGUACCUGCUGGAUCUGUUCCGCUUGUGGUGGCGCUACGGGAUCAGCUUCAUCCGCCUGCAGAUGUGGGUGGAGGAGAUAAUGGAGAAGUUUAUGAGAAUCUAUAAAUACCAGGCGCACGGCUAUGCCUUCAGUUCAGUUGAAGAGCUGCUGCACUCUCUUGGGGGUUCAGGAUUUAUCAACAUGACCCGCCGCUCGCUUUCCGAGUCUCUGUUAGAGUUGGGCGUCUCCCAGCGCUUCAUUGACGAAGUCAUAGCCCCGAUCAUGAGGGUCAACUACGGCCAGAACAUCAGCAUCCCUGCGUUUGUCGGUGCUGUGUCUCUAGCUGGGGCACAGGCCAAUCUCUGGGCUGUGGAGGGAGGAAACAAGCUGGUUUGCUCUGGAUUGCUUAAACUAGCAAAAGCUAAUCUCAUCCAAAGUCCAGUUACAACCAUCACCCUCCGAUCAACAGGAGAUUACCACCAGUAUGAGCUCACCUACGACUCUCAAAAUGAAAAGUCAUCAGAGCUCUAUGACAUUGUAGUAGUAGCUACACCUCUCCAGCAAAACAUCAACUCGGGCAUCUCAUUCCAGGGCUUUGAGCCUCAACUUCCAGAUAUAGCGGGCUCCUAUCACCAAACUGUGGCCUCCAUCAUCCACGGCUACCUAAACUGCUCUUACUUCGGCUUCCCCGACCCAAAGCUCUUCCCGUUUUCCAGCAUCCUGACCACAGACACUCCCGGACUUUUCUUCAACAGCGCCGCCAGCGUCUGCCCGGUCAACAUAACCUCCGGUUUUCGCCGGAAGCAGCCGCAAGAGGCCGGCGUCUACAAGGUCUUUUCCCCAAAACCCCUGGAGAAGAGCGAACUGAAGACGCUUUUUAAGUCCUACUACUCGGUGCAGGUCACAGAUUGGUUGGCGUACCCUCACUACGGAAGCACCCAGGGCUUGCCACCGGUGGUGCUGCACGAAAACCUGUACUUCCUGAAUGGAAUCGAAUGGGCUGGGAGUGCGAUGGAGAUGAGUUCGGUGGCGGCUAAGAAUAUAGCGCUGCUGGCCUACCACCGCUGGAACAGACAACUGGAAAUGAUUGACCAGAAGGAACUCAUGCACAAAGUGAAGACAGAGUUGUGACACAGCCGGUACUGUAUGUCGUUAUAAAGACACUGUGAAGUAUGAUAAGAGCGACUGCGCUUGUCAAACCUGUUAGAGAGAUGGCAACCGCGUAUUUUCGAUGUUUGAUGCAAGAUCUGCUUGUCUGCCAGAUGUUCGGUGAGGGUCACCAGUCUCAGGCUAAACGUGGAUCUGUAUGAAGCGGCGGUGAUGCGUGGGACGUUUUCUCCAUUACUGACCAGCUUGAGGCUUCUGUGAACUCGCUUGUUAUGAGCUAACAUUCGACGAAUUGAAAACGCUGUGCGGAAAAACCUCUGAUAUUCACUGAUGCAGAGGGCCAUCCAUCAAACUUACAGCGCAAGCAGAAAUCUUGCCAACUCUGACAGCUGAACUGAUUAGAGAACAGUCCAUCUAGCGCACGCGGAUCCAGGAAACGGCGCAGACAAACAGAAAAGCCUUUUUCCCCCUCUUCAAUUGUUUGCUGAAUCUAUUUACAUAGUAACCCGCUCAUAAAUAUUGAGCCCAUUUCAGAAGCAUAUCUGCUUGUGACUGCGCCAUUGUGUCCACAGAGCACUCGAGAACAGCUGAGACCGCAGGGAAGCUCUGUAGUUUCAGGUCUUUGGUAAACUCAGGCCGUGAAAAACGUAUGGUUAUGCCUGCAGGAAUAAGUCAUCCCUCUCCGUCUAUCUAUCCAUCCUUUUUUCCAAACUGCAGAUCCUCUUUUGGGUCGCAGGAAAGUGUGUUAUAUAAUAUGAUAUGUGCCACACUUGAUAUUUGACCGGUGUCACGUAUCGCACAAUUUAGAAGAAAACGUAAGCAAUUAUAUUUUGCAAUGCUUAAGUUUUUUCCUCGUUUUUUUUGUAGUUAUUAUUUUGUAGUGCUGUCGUUACACGUCUGGAUUUUCCCCUCAUAUACUAUAUAUAUACAUAAGUUUAUUUGCAAAAACGGAUAACUGAUCGUUUUCAAAAAUCAGUUUUUUAUGACUGUGUGUUUAAUGUGUUUUUUAUAGUUAGUUAGCUGUAUUUUUUAGU